CGAGCUGUGAUGCAAAGGGGGUUUUGGUGCUCAGCGUCUCUGCUUCCCCGCCGGGCUUCCUAGAGCUCGGGAGCUUUCUCAUCCAUGGAUUGAGAUCUGAUCCUCUGACCCCUGGAGUCACUCACCGUCAGGGAGCGUCGCUUCGGACUGGCGCUCGACUGGCAGCGUGUGCCUAAGUAUAAUAUAUCCACAUUGACAUAAGUCUCAAAAAAGCCCUUCAGGCCACUCCAAACACACCUGGUAAAAUCAAGAAUUGGAAGAUUGACUGGGACCUUGCUACUCAAAGUGGAGUUCAGGGACCGCCAGCAUCGGUAGCCCCUGAGAGCCUGUUAGAAAUGCAACAUCUUAGGCUCACUGCUGACCUCCUGAGUCUGAACCUGCAUUUUAACAAGAUGCCUGGUGACUGAUAUGCUCAUGAGAGUUUGAGAAACAUGUGGCUAAAACACAUCCCAAUGUCUUAGGAUUUGCAGAUCUGGAACCCGCUUCCACGCUCUGGCUGGAACUAUGAGUAGAAGUCUGAACACUUCUGCCCACUGCGUCUUGGUGUGGGAGUUGCCAAGGAAAACAAAAUACAGUCAAAGCACCGGAUGGAACAACGCUUUACUCACAUGAAGGAGACAGAGCAAGAUGGGCUUCAGUAGAGGGCGUCGGUCUCCCAUGGCCAGUGGUUGCCCCCUGGCAGCAUAUGCAGGGCAGUUGGCUCUCAUGCCCCGCUCCUGAGCUGUGUACCAGAAGGACCCCAUCCCCUUCCCAUACGGGACAGUAGAGCAGUGGGGUUGGCCAAGUGCCGUAUGACACACAUGCUGAAGCAGAACAAAGGAGUACAUAUUGAGUCUGAAACAGAGAAAGAUGUUCCCACACAGGGUGACAAAGGCAGCACAGGCUGUAAGGACUCUACCUCUUUGGAAGGCAGUGUUCCAGGCUUACUGGGGCCGAGCGGGGGUUGAGAAACUGCACACAAGAGACCCCUUUCCCAACAGUUUUAAUUUUAGUAUCCCUCCACCUUAGAUUAAGUUUGUAUAAAGCUAUUUCAUGUAACAGUAACCUAAAUGGAGAAGGUUCACAAACUGAGAUCAAUCCCAUUUUCCGUCAUUACAUUGGCCUGGGGAUACUAUUCCUGUUUCUCUUGAAUGCUGACCCAAGAACCACAGCCUUUGAAGAUACUUUUUAGGAGAUCAGAAAGUGCCAUUAAUAACUGCCUGAGUACCUACUGUGAGCCUUAUGGUGGCACUCACAAGUGAAUUACAUCGUACACAUCAUUCCUAGAUCAACUGUUAGGUUUUGUUUCUGAUCUUUGUUCCACUGAGUGGCUGAGCUAGAAGAGUACAUGCUGUUCCUUGGCAUCAUGAAAUAUUUUUAUAGAAUUUCCAGUGAACAGGAUCCCAGGGCUCCUGGGCUGUUGCUAAUGAACUGGACCCAUGAUGGCCUAACCAUGUAACCACGGUGGUACUGAAUGGCUACACCCUUAGUACACGUGGUCAGGAAAAAUAAAAACAAACUGACAAUUUGUGAUGCUUACAUUUAGAUGUAACAAAUCUUGUCAGAUUGCUCUUCCUUUUCACACUCUAUAGGGACU